AGGAGGGAUUUAUUCUUUCUGAAGCAUAAUUUUUUUUUCUGGCUCCUAAUCUAGCAAAUUAGCAAUUCCUGCUUCUGGUCUGCGUACAAAACAAUGCCCACCCAUGUGGGCCUCAUAGUCCACACUCCAGAAAUCCAUGGUAGCUAUGGAGACGCGGGGACGGGAGCGGACAUCAUUAGCGAGCGCCAGCCCUCUGACAUCACACGCCGGGUCUAACAUAGGCCUCUGUGGGAUAGUGAGGAGAGCGGACGUCAUCAGUGGGCGCCCGCCCACCAGAGCCGCGCUCCAAGCAACACUCGUGGUGGGGAUUCUAUUUAAGGUGGUGGAGGAGUGCUGUCCUGCUGCAAGCUGGCCCUCUUCAAAAGCUCCAAGUGUCAAUAUUUCCCUUCCAGUCAUGGACCCCCAAUUAGUGCACUGCAUCCCCUCACAUGGCUCGCUUUGCUCGCAAUACUUCAAGCAAGGUGCCUCGCUCCUCUCUGCUUCACUCGCCACAGCCGCAAAUGUCAUCAUUAUUAUCAACACUUGAACCUGGCCUGUGCUGGACACAAGACAUCCAUCAGAAACAGACUUCCCUUUGCUGUACAUGUACCAUAGAAUAGAACUGAACUUAGUUAAAUGCCCGUGACACUCCAAUUACAAUCUCAUGAGACAAAUCUCUUGCAUGGAACCGCAACUUUG